rnacentral:rRNA from 1 species
AUUGAACGCUGGCGGAAUGCUUUACACAUGCAAGUCGAACGGCCACAUAGAGAGCUUGCUCUCUGAUGGCGAGUGGCGAACGGGUGAGUAACAUAUCGGAACGUACCUAGUAAUGGGGAACAACUAAUCGAAAGAUUAGCUAAUACCGCAUACGACCUACGGGUGAAAGCAGGGGAUCUUCGGACCUUGCGUUAUUAGAGCGGCCGAUAUCUGAUUAGGUAGUUGGUGGGGUAAAAGCCUACCAAGCCGACGAUCAGUAGCUGGUCUGAGAGGACGAUCAGCCACACUGGAACUGAGACACGGUCCAGACUCCUACGGGAGGCAGCAGUGGGGAAUUUUGGACAAUGGGGGCAACCCUGAUCCAGCCAUUCCGCGUGAGUGAAGAAGGCCUUCGGGUUGUAAAGCUCUUUCGCAAGAGAAGAAAUCUUGCUAUUUAAUAAAUAGUAAGGAUGACGGUAUCUUGACAAGAAGCACCGGCUAACUACGUGCCAGCAGCCGCGGUAAUACGUAGGGUGCAAGCGUUAAUCGGAAUUACUGGGCGUAAAGCGUGCGCAGGCGGUUUUAUAAGUCAGAUGUGAAAUCCCCGAGCUCAACUUGGGAACUGCGUUUGAAACUGUAAGACUAGAGUGUGUCAGAGGGGGGUAGAAUUCCAUGUGUAGCAGUGAAAUGCGUAGAUAUGUGGAGGAAUACCAAUGGCGAAGGCAGCCCCCUGGGAUAACACUGACGCUCAUGCA